GUAGUUAGCCGGGGCUUCCUCACAGGGUACCGUCACUUCUUCGUCCCCUGCGACAGAGGUUUACAAUCCGAAAACCUUCUUCCCUCACGCGGCGUUGCUGGGUCAGGCUUGCGCCCAUUGCCCAAUAUUCCCCACUGCUGCCUCCCGUAGGAGUCUGGACCGUGUCUCAGUUCCAGUGUGGCCGAUCAGCCUCUCAGCUCGGCUACCCAUCGUCGGCAUGGUGGGCCGUUACCCCGCCAUCUACCUAAUGGGACGCGAACCCCUCCUUCAUCGAUCUCUCUUUGACCUCAUCGCCAUGCGGCAUCGUGGUCUUAUGCGGUAUUAGCACUUGUUUCCAGGUGUUAUCCCCCUUUGAAGGUCAGGUUGUUCACGCGUUACUCACCCGUGCGCCACUAAACUGUCUACCGAAAUAAACAGCUCCGUUCGACUUGCAUGUGUUAGGCACGCCGCCAGCGUUCGUCCUGAGCCAGAAUCAAACUCUGA
rnacentral:rRNA from 1 species